AGUGAACGCUGGCGGUAGGCCUAACACAUGCCAGUCGAACGGCAGCACAGUAAGAGCUUGCUCUUACGGGUGGCGAGUGGCGGACGGGUGAGGAAUACAUCGGAAUCUACUUUUUCGUGGGGGAUAACGUAGGGAAACUUACGCUAAUACCGCAUACGACCUACGGGUGAAAGCAGGGGAUCUUCGGACCUUGCGCGAUUGAAUGAGCCGAUGUCGGAUUAGCUAGUUGGCGGGGUAAAGGCCCACCAAGGCGCCGAUCCGUAGCUGGUCUGAGAGGAUGAUCAGCCACACUGGAACUGAGACACGGUCCAGACUCCUACGGGAGGCAGCAGUGGGGAAUAUUGGACAAUGGGCGCAAGCCUGAUCCAGCCAUACCGCGUGGGUGAAGAAGGCCUUCGGGUUGUAAAGCCCUUUUGUUGGGAAAGAAAAGCAGCAGGUUAAUACCCCGCUGUUCUGACGGUACCCAAAGAAUAAGCACCGGCUAACUUCGUG
rnacentral:rRNA from 1 species